GACGAACGCUGGCGGCAGGCCUAACACAUGCAAGUCGAACGGGAUCUUCGGAUCUAGUGGCGGACGGGUGAGUAACGCGUGGGAACGUGCCCUUUGGUUCGGAAUAGCCCCGGGAAACUGGGAGCAAUACCGGAUAAGCUCUACGGAGGAAAGAUUUAUCGCCAAAGGAUCGGCCCGCGUUGGAUUGGGUAGUGGGUGAGGUAAUGGCUCACCAAGCCGACGAUCCAUAGCUGGUUUGAGAGGAUGAUCAGCCACACUGGGACUGAGACACGGCCCAGACUCCUACGGGAGGCGGCAGUGGGGAAUCUUAGACAAUGGGGGAAACCCUGAUCUAGCCAUGCCGCGUGAUCGAUGAAGGCCUUAGGGUUGUAAAGAUCUUUCAGUGGGGAAGAUAAUGACUGUACCCACAGAAGAAGCCCCGGCUAACUCCGUGCCAGCCGCCGCAGUAA
rnacentral:rRNA from 1 species